rnacentral:rRNA from 1 species
AUUGAACGCUGGCGGCAGGCUUAACACAUGCAAGUCGAGCGAGCGGCGGACGGGUGAGUAAUGUCUGGGAAACUGCCUGAUGGAGGGGGAUAACUACUGGAAACGGUAGCUAAUACCGCAUACCAUCAGAUGUGCCCAGAUGGGAUUAGCUAGUAGGUGGGGUAAUGGCUCACCUAGGCGACGAUCCCUAGCUGGUCUGAGGGGAUGACCGGCCAAACUGGAUAGAAGACAGGGGCCAGCCUCAUAGGGGAGGCAGCAGUGGGGAAUAUUGCACAAUGGGCGCAAGCGUGAUGCAGCCAUGCCGGGUGUGUGAAGAAGGACUGCGGGUUGUAAAGUAAUUUCAGCGGGGAGGCGUUACCCGCAGAAGAAGCACCGGCUAACUCCGUGCCAGCAGCGGCGUUAAUC